UUUCAUAACAUCAUCAUCCUCUGAGGGCAUCCCAUCAUAUCAUCUCGAGAUAUCCUGGGCAACAUCAUCAACUUAUACCAACUGAUCAGGUGGUGGUGCAUAUAUAAUGUCGUAACCUUUUUCCAUAUCCCAUAUUCAUAUAUUUACAUAUAUACGCGUAUAUAACGUCAUCUAGUCAUGAGUCAAUGCACAUGUAUAAAUGGGUGAAAUGCAUGAAAAAUACAAAAUAAUCUCAAUAUUCCUUCCGGAUAAACUUUUUCAACUGCGUAUUAUUCUGAGACCCAUGAACAGAAGAUAAUAAUAAUUCACAUGAGGAAUCAAGAAUACAUACACCCCUAGUAUUUCUAUGAAUAGAGUAAUUUAUGGAAACUGUACGUUUGCUCGUUUCUUCUGUAUAAUUUGGACCACGCCAAAAGAAAGAAGGGACGGCCUUAACAUACCUGGAGUAGGAAAAAUUCCGUAUAAUAUUCUUGGCGAAGAUUGCACCGUACUCUUUUAAAACCACAAAAUUUGAUUGAAUUAAGCUUCUGGUUCUUUCAAAAGUUCAAACGAAUAUACGUUUCUGAUUGUUAAAAAUGUUUCGAACGAUUUUGAGCUCUUGUUCUUGAAAUGUUUAAACCAAAAAAUGAAAUGAAAUAUUCAAAGUUCAAAACCAAGAAAUGGAAUCAGAAUCAAUCGUUCCUAUAAGGUUCUAAGGUAGCCAUCUCAUUACUUAAAAUGAAUAAGAAUCACUUUCUAUUGCCACGUUACUAGGGUAUAAUUUAUUAAGUAUUUAUCCAUUUAUUAGUUAAUUGGGUAAAGUCCCGUUAUUUGGUAAUUAAUCAAUUACCCGCAAAAUUGAGAAUUAUUACCACUUACUUAAAAUACUACUCACUUUUCACAUACCUUAUACACCUUACUAUUAUGGUCAUGUGGUACCUCGUAUGGUACUGGUCCAUAAAUACCGAGUAUUUUAUCUCGGGCCGUAUUUUAUCCAAACAUGCCAAACUUGGACGAAAAUUUAUUUUCUUUGACUUGCUUCCCCUCCCACCUUCACGAAUUUACUUGUUACUUAGUUGAAAUAGCAUAAUCCUUAUAAUCUCCAAAUAAUCUUUUCCUUGGACUGAUGUCAAUUACCUUACGACAAAUUCAUCGUACAAUGCUAUAGGCUGCAACAUCGUCGUAAUAUAGUACUGCGGGACGUGACAUCUCACUUCCGGGCUCUCAUUAAUUUAUUUAUGACGUAUUUUCAUGUACGAAAAUAUGGGGUGUAACAGAAUUCUACUCUCCAACAAAUGCAGCAAUGAAGUUAUAGCAUACUGUGAUGCUGAUUGGGCAGCUUGCUCUCACUCUAGAAAAUCUGUGUCUGGUUAUUUUACCAAACUUUGUGAUUCAUUAGUUGCUUGAAAGUCUAAGAAACACACUACUAUUUCCUAAAGCUCAGCAGAAUUAAUUUGGCUACUUGGAUUACUGAAAGAAUUGGUAAUUGAAGUUCGACAGCCCGUGAAUGUCUAUAGUAACAGCAAGGCAGCUAUGCGAAUUGCGGCAAAUCCAGUUUAUCAUGAACGUACGAAGUAUAUCGAAAUCGAUUGUCAUUUCAUCAGGAAAAAAUCCUACAAGGCUUGAUCAUAAUAAUAUACAUUCCUACAAGAGACCAACCAGCUGCAAUUCUGACAAAAGGACUUAAUCGAGUUCUACAUGAAUAUCUCAAUCCCAAGCAUGGAGCUUUGAAAAUCUUUGCACUUACUAGCUUGUGGGGAAGUGUUGGGAAAGUUGUUACAUAAUUCAUUAGAGAAUAAAUUGGUCAUUUUACUAUAAUUGACCAAUUAGAGUUAAGUAGGUGGUUAAGUUAGUUAGACAAGUGGACAUUAUAUAUACACACGUGUAUAUGAGAUUUACACAAUGAAAGGAUAACAUUUUUCUUAUUUCAUAAUCUUCUUCUCUCUUUCGUCUCCUUCCUCCUCCUCUCUACUGGGUUCUUACCCUUCUGUUCAUCUUCUUCUUAAUACAAUUUCAUUUUACGUUGGUUUUCCGGUUAUAUAAGCAAAUUCGUUGCUUUGUGUGCUUCAGGAGGAGUAAGUUUGCGCUUUUCCAUCAAUUAGAAGCCUUAUUUUUCGAUCAACUGAUUAAACUUGUGGAACGCAAUGUCUAUAAAAGGAGAAAAAGCUAAUUAAAAAUUGGAAAUGAUUAAUUUAAAAGCUGUUUUUUUAUUUCUGCUCGGAAAGAUUAAUUUAAAAGCUUUUCCUUAUUUAUUUUCUGGCGUGAUGAGCUUCUCCCUACUACCUAAAGACAUGAAAUGAGAGAAAUAUAGAACAUCUUUUACGAAUUUACAAUGAGUUUUAAGUUCAAUUUAUUAUAUUGGCAAGGUGUUAAAGAUAAUAGUAUUGAUCAUUAAUUAACAACAUGUUUAAAAAAGAGCUGUCACACCUCCUUUUUACCACCCGAGGGUAUAUAAGAGAGUUUUUCCAAUUAAAGUGACAUUAUUCGAAAUGGGAUUAUUUAAUUUAUUAGAGUCGCCACUUGGAAUAGUUUAUUUGGUGUCCCAAGUCACCGGUUUAUUUUAAAUCCCAAAUCGAGGAAAUUUUCGACUUUAUUUAAAAGUCUGUAAAACCAGAAAUUCUAGAUAAGGAAUUCUGUUAACCCGGGAGAAAGUGUUAGGCAUUCCCGGGUUCCGUGGUUCUAGCACGGUCGCUUAAACUAUUAAUAAUUGGCCUAUUAUCUGAUUUACUACACGUUUUAAACCUAUUAUGCAUUUUUAACUUUAUAACCGCUUUUAAUUACUUUAUGGAAUUAUUCUUGAACAAGUUACGAUUGUCGUACACUUGCUUAUUUGAUACAUAUUGCGAAUCAUGUCACGGGAAUCGUACCCACGAUCCACAACAUGUUUAAUUUAUUAAAGUUAUUAGAAAUUAUAGCCGGGUCACAUAAAUGUACCCCCGAAUUUGAAAAUUAGGUAUCACAACUAGGUCACGGGAACCGUACCCGUAGCUAUGAUGAUUUUAUUAUAGACAUGCCUAAAGCAAACUACGAAUGUUCAGAAAUAAUUUUUACACUAAGUUAUAAUAUUAAUGUGAGGGCCAUAGAUUAGGUGAUUCAAUUGUGAAUGACACGCCUCGAUUUAUUUUUAAAAGAUUUGUAUUUCACUAAAGUAAACUAAGGAUGCUCCUAUUUAAAUAUAAUUUGAAAUUAGGUAUUACAACUAUGCCACAGGAACCAUACCCAUAGUUGUAAUGAUUUAAUUGCGUGCCUAAAGCAAAAUACGGUGUUCCAAAUUUGUGAUUCAUAGCCAAUUUGGGAUUGUUGUGAAGGCUCUGACUUAUGGAAGAAAAACAUACUAAUCCUACGGAGAAAAGACAAAUCUAGGAUACAUUACUGUAUGAAGUACGAAUUUUUCAAUACAUUUUGAAAGGAAGAAAAAAAAGCCAUAUUAAUUAGUUAGGUGUGUUCGUGUUCCACUUGAUUUCCACAUCAAUUUUAUUUUUUAUUUUUUUAUUUUUUCCAACAAAAAAGUUCAAAGAACUCUGCCACACAUGCCUAAGAUAAAUACAUUUAAUUAACAAUGCUACAAAAUAUAUAUUAUAACAUGAAGCAACAGUUCAAAUGGUAAUCACCAAAUAUGCAAGUAUUUAGACAUCUCCGUCAGUGAAGAAAGCACAUGUUCCUUUUAAUUCAGACACCAAGAAAAAGACGAACAUCUCCAGGUAUCCCGAGAACAGAAAUUGGAAUAACUGACAUGAACAGAUCUUUUCAACAAAUAUAUUGGGACAGUCUCAAGCAAUAAAGUUAAAAUCAAGUAUGCUCCUUAUUCAUAUGUAAACUCAAAGCAAUUAAAUACUAAUAUUUUCACCAAUCAAAUAUCAAAUCAGUGAUCAUAGAGUCAUAUUAAACUAUAAUCCGACAUGUCUAAACCAAGCAGAUUCAUAAAUUUAUAUGCUUGUCCAAAGUGAAGCAACAUAUUUAACAAAAUGAUAGGGAAAAACUGGAGCCAGAUCAAAUCAGUAUUUUAUUCAUUCGAAACUAGAAACAAUCAGAAAAUUAGAAGUGUACCUACCUUGUAUUUUAAAAGAAAUAAAGGAAAAGUGAAACGAAGCUCAACAACAAUUUUCUGUCCACAACAAACAACAAUCGCAGCAAGACAGCUCCAAUUAGAGCUUCGAAAACUUGGAUCCUAAAUAGGAAUAAACGGCUUUACGGGGCAUCAGGAGAAGAGUUCCAAUAAAGGGCAGCCACAAUAGCUCGAGCUACAUCGCUUGCUAUACCAUUGUACUCCAUCUUUCUUUAGCUGUUAAUUAAUGCUUCAAUAAAUUCUUGAAGUUGUACGGUAUCCACCUUUGAAAAAGUUUUUAAAAGGAAGAAAGAAAAAAUUGGAAAGAGGGUUUUAAGCAAAUAUGUCAGUUAUUUAUACUCUGUGAUGGCGGACAGAGUGGGGAUAGAGGAAAGGUGCUUCAUCUUUUUGGGUCUUUGAUCUGUGUAUCGUGUGGAGAAAAAAAUGAAGAAGAAAGAGGGGUUUGGUCUUUUUUGUGGAAACGGCGCUGAGGGAGUGGAUCUGAUUUAUUAGGUCUAGCCUAAGUUUUAAUUAAAAGGAGGAAGAGUUAGGUCAGGCGGGUCAGGUAGGGAGAUUGGGCUGGUGGAAUUUGGGUAUUGUAUUUGGGCUAGUUAGACUUAGGCCCAAUAUAUCAAGACUAAAUCAAAUUCUUUACCUAUUUUCCUUUCUCUUUGUUUUCUUUUUUUUUCUUUUCUUUAAUUUAAAACCCUUAAAUUAAUUAAAAUCCUAAAUCAAUCUAUUUUUGUAGAAAUUAAAAUUCUUUAUUUAUUUUUAAUAUUAAAACGACUAAUUAACUUAAAACUAAAGAAAAAUGCUAAUUUUAAAGGCUAAAAUCUAAAUAUGUAAAAAAUGACCAUUUUUAUAAUUUUUUGCUUAAUAAAAUUAAUUCCUACAUGCAAUUUGAACCUAAGAUGGCAUGAAAUUAAAACGUGAUAAUUUUUAUUAUUUUAAAAUAUUAAAAAAUGCAUGAAAUGCAACUAAAUAAAGAAAACUUCAAAAAUCCCUUAAAAAUUAUUUUUGGUCUAUUUUUAGGAGUUAUUUUCAUGUAAGGCAAAAAUUGGGUGCUCAUAGCUGCCCCUCUUUGCUCGGAAACAUGAAGAAUUUUUGGGCAAAGAUAAAAUGAGCAACUACGAGCAAUUUUUGCCCGUUUGAAACUCCAUUUGGAAGCAUUUUGAAAAAGUUUGACCGAACCUUGCUUCAGAGGUUGCCUACAUAUCCUUGGCUAUAAAGGAAUCAGGUCGGUGUAGUUUUGGGAGUUUUGGUAGUUGGGACUAUCGAAAAACUGUGAUUUCAUUGUUGUUGUUGCUGUUUCUGCUUGCUGAGCUCCUUAUUACACCAAAAUGAAAAAUAAAAAGCUAAACUAGUUAAGUCUAUCAACUACGUGUUACAAGAUUCCUAUCUAUAAAUCUUCUGAAGCUUGAACUUGAGUCUUGGCUGGUUCUUCCUGCAGACUUCGAUCUGAAUCUUGAUGCUUGUUAGCUGCAAACGCUGGUUCAUUCUUCUUCAGCUUUUCGGAUCAAGGCGAGGCAAUGCAAAACUUAUGACUUCAAUCUUAUCUUGGGCAAUCCACAUCUUUUCUCUGCUUCUACACUUAGAGUUCAACUUCUUUUCUUGUUUCUUCUUUUCUUUUAUUUGUGUUGNNNNNNNNNNNNNNNNNNNNNNNNNNNNNNNNNNNNNNNNNNNNNNNNNNNNNNNNNNNNNNNNNNNNNNNNNNNNNNNNNNNNNNNNNNNNNNNNNNNNNNNNNNNNNNNNNNNNNNNNNNNNNNNNNNNNNNNNNNNNNNNNNNNNNNNNNNNNNNNNNNNNNNNNNNNNNNNNNNNNNNNNNNNNNNNNNNNNNNNNNNNNNNNNNNNNNNNNNNNNNNNNNNNNNNNNNNNNNNNNNNNNNNNNNNNNNNNNNNNNNNNNNNNNNNNNNNNNNNNNNNNNNNNNNNNNNNNNNNNNNNNNNNNNNNNNNNNNNNNNNNNNNNNNNNNNNNNNNNNNNNNNNNNNNNNNNNNNNNNNNNNNNNNNNNNNNNNNNNNNNNNNNNNNNNNNNNNNNNNNNNNNNNNNNNNNNNNNNNNNNNNNNNNNNNNNNNNNNNNNNNNNNNNNNNNNNNNNNNNNNNNNNNNNNNNNNNNNNNNNNNNNNNNNNNNNNNNNNNNNNNNNNNNNNNNNNNNNNNNNNNNNNNNNNNNNNNNNNNNNNNNNNNNNNNNNNNNNNNNNNNNNNNNNNNNNNNNNNNNNNNNNNNNNNNNNNNNNNNNNNNNNNNNNNNNNNNNNNNNUAAACUAUUUCUUUAAUAAAAGAAAAAAAUAAGGAUUGUGUAUCCAUGGGAAAAAGAGAUUAGGGAGUGGAGCCCUAUAUUUAUAAUGAAAUCAACUAGGGAGUGGACACCCUAUGUUGGAGAAGAGACUAGGGAAUGGAGACUCUAUAUCUAAACUAAAAUCAACUAGGGAGUAGAAACCCUAUAUUGGAAAAGUGACUAGGGAGUGGAGAAACUAUGUCUAAAAUACUUCAACUAGGGAGUGGAGACCCUAUGUUGGAAAAGUCACUAGGGAGUAGAAACCCUAUGUCUAAAAUAAAUUCAACUAGAGAGCGAAGACCCUAUGUUGGAAAAACAGACUAGGGAGUGGAGACCCUAUGUCUAAAAUAAAUUCAACUAGGGAGUGGAAACCCUAUGUUGGAAAAAUGACUAGGGAGUGGAGGCCCUAUGUCUAAAGUAAAUUCAACUACGAAGUGGAGACCCUAUAUUGGAAAAGCAGACUAGGGAGUGGAGACCCUAUGUCUUAAUUAAAUUCAACUAGGGAGUGGAGACCCUAUGUUGGAAAUGCAGACUAGGGAGUGGAGACCCUAUGUCUAAAAUAAAUUCAACAAGGGAGUGAAGACCCUAUAUUAUAAAAGCAGACUAGGGAGUGAAGACUCUAUUUCUAAAAUAAAUUCAACUAGGGAGUGGAGACUCUAUGUUGGAAAAGUGACAAGGGAGUGGAGACCCUAUGCCUANNNNNNNNNNNNNNNNNNNNNNNNNAAACCCUAUGUUGGAAAAGCAGACUAGGGAGUGAAGACCCUAUGUCUAAUUAAAUUCAACUAGGGAGUGAAGACCCUUUGUUGGAAAAGCAGACUAGGGAAUGGAGACCCUAUGUCUAAAAUAAAAUCAACAAGGGAGUGGAGAACCUAUGUUGGAAAAAAUGUAACUAGAGAUUGGAAACCCUAGGCUACCAUAUUUUUGAAUUUUCUUCUCUCUCUUUUUUUAAGAAAAAAUAAGCAAGAAUGCAGGAAAGAAUUUGGAAGAGACUUCCUUUUUGGAUUGAUUAUUGCUGCAAAACUAUUUCUAGCCCUUCCGCAGUUUCUUUUGGUUGCACCUACUUCUUGCAAUGUUGCUUUGGAUUGCACAUGUUUCAUGUUUUCAAACAAAGAACUAUUGUUAGUUUGAAACGGUGGUUGGUUUUGUGACAUUGGUUGUUUUGAUCUCGGCCCAACUCUUUCGAUGAAAAUCUCUAUUACUCGCUGGCUUUGUGGAGAUCGAUCGCUCUUGUAAACCCAGGGAUCUUGACUUUCCAAAAUUUUACAUGAUGUUUCACCUGUGUGGGGAUUUAGCCUUUUCAUAUUAUUUUGCCUUUAUGGGCACUUGACUUUCGAUUUCUUUCCUUUUCAAUAAUUUUGACUCUAAAGCAUCGGCCAUCAUGGCCAGUCGAGAUCUACUUGAUGCACCUGCUAAGACUGGGUGCUUUUUUGUACAUUAGCUCGUGUCAAACGAAAGCCCUGUAAAUCAAUCUUGCCAUCCCUUCUUUGUCUCAGUUUCGGAAUAGAGUUAGACCGAAAGGGAUUCAAAGAAAAAUAAACAAUGGACAGGAUAAUGAAUCUGAACGAGAGGUAUCCCUUUCGGGGAGAAGAAAAAAUGACUUAUUCGGAGUGCAUGCAGACUUUAAUGAACAUGACAUGUCUUUGGACUAGAUGCCUGAUCUGUGUAAACCGUCUGACUCUCAGAAAUUCAUCACAACUUUGCCUUGGAACCGAGAACCUUGCCAGGACUCUGUCGAUGCCAAUGACUGUGAGGAUCCUCUUUUCGAUGAGGGACGCCCUUUGCGGGUUUUCACGAGCUGACCUCUCUCAUUUCUCUUCUCACUAUCGCCUUAUAGUACUCUUUGCGAGUUUUCACUAAAAAGACUCUCUCAUUUCAAUUUCUCUGCUUACUGUCGCCUCACGAUGCCCAUGUGGGUUUUCACCAAUAAGACUCUCUCAUUUUAUUUCUCUGCUUACCAUCGCCUUACGGUGCCCAUGUGGAGUUUCACCAAUAAGACUCUCACAUUUUAUUUCUAUCAUUUUGUUGUAUCAGAUAAGUAACUCUAUCCUCCCAUUUUAAACCUCUUUGCCGAUUGAUCACAAGGACUUGAACAGGGUUUCAGGGUAAAAAGGAUUUGGGAUUGAGUUACAACUUUGGAACCUUUCGGGCGAAACCAUCGCCAAACCAUUAUAACAUUUGCCCUAGUUUCACUUUUGGGGAAUUUGGAUUUUUAUUUUGGUGUGACUGAACCUCAGAGAGAGGCUGCCUACGUAUCCUUUCGGAAUCAAGUCGAACGUAGUUUAGGAAACUUUAUUUUUGAUUUUCUUUUGUUUUUCUGUUUUGUUUUGUUUUCUCUUUCUUUUUCCUUUCCUUUUUUCUCUCUUUUUUUCGUUUUUUUUUUCAUUUUCUUUGACUUUUCUUCCUUUUUUUGUAUGUUUCUUUUUCUUCUCUUUUUUGUUUUCACUUUUCAUCUUCAUUUUUUUUGUAUUUUUUUUUUCAAAUAACACUUUUCAGGUUUUCCAAAGAGGGUAUUUAAAGAAAAGUAGCCGGCUCAAAGGGUUUUGCAAAUGGGUUGAUAGUGUUUUGGGUUAGCUGAGAAUAAAAGCCUUAUUCAUCCCAACCGGAGAACUAUUUAUAUUAUAUAGAGGAUCCAAUAUAGUACCUUUUGGCUGCAUUUGCAUUGACAGUUAUUUCAGGACAUUUCCUUUGAUGUAUUCCAGGUACAACGCUCUUUUUGGUAGUACCCUUGUUACCAUGUAUGGAUCUUUCCAAUCUGGAGCCAAUUUUCCUUUAGUUGUUCCAACUCUUUGUUUUAUUUCCUUACACUUAUCUUCAUUGCAAUCUAAUUCUUGAUUUAUUAUUUCAAAGCCUGACAGCGAUUUAGGAUCUGGGCAUGAAGUCCGUAAGCAUGUCAUGUUUUUGAAUAUGCAUUUAAUAGAACUAAAAAUAGAAUAAGGAAAAUGACAAGAUUAAGAAAAGAGAUAUUCCUGAACAAUGAAAUAUUAAUUUCAUUUGAUUUUUCAAUUUUUGAUUUUUUUUCAAUUUUUUGAAGUUAGAAGGGUUUAAAUCGGAAAGUAAGACAAUAAAGUAAAACAUCCGUAUCACACCCUGAGAUAAUCCGGACGCAAAAAGGAUAGCAAGACUGGCUACCGAGACUCCCGUCUGAUGGGAAACUUUCAUGCUUGGCGACCAUUUUUUUGGCUUUUCUUCUGUCUCGGCAAUGGCUGCAAUGGCCUUCAGUGCCGGAUUAAAUUCCUCAUCUUCACAAAUUAUUCCGACUAUUGGCCCGCUGUUGUGUGCAAACAACAGAUUGUUCAUCACAUCAAGAGCUUCUUCAUCCUGAAAAAUAAUUCUUUCUACUUCAAUCAAAUCUUCAGCUGCCCUUUUGAGAGUCCAACAGUUCUCUGUACUGUGUCCCACUGCUCCAAAGUGGUAUUCACAUCUAGCAUCAACUCAGUGCGAGAGGGACUCGGGGUUCGGCCAGUUCGGGCCCACUGGCUGCAAUAGAUCUAGCAUGAUUAGCUUUUGGAACAAGCUUGAAUACGAUUUACCAAUAGAGGUGAACUGAUUCUUUCUGAAAGGCUCUCUUGGGCGAGGAUUGUACUGGGGAACAUCUGGUUGGGGAUUAUAUGGAGCUUGGUAAGGAUGGACAUUUAUGGGAGGUGGAGCUCGGUUUUGUGUAUGAUAUUGUGGCCGCGUGUAAGGUUGCACGUUCAUCACCGCAUAAGAGGUGGUGCCACAGCAUAAGCAGCAUCUUGAAGAGGAUAAUAAUGUUGAGGGACCUCAGGAAGAAUAUAUGAUCGACUGGAUGACUUGCAGGUCCCCCUCAAGCUCGAAACCAUCAUGGCUCCUUCUUCUCUCCCGUUUCCAUUUAUCAAAUCCUCUGAACCAUUUUGAACAUCUGGUAAUGUGGCUUUAAAAGCAGCAUGACUCAAGAUUCAACCCGUUUUUAGCCCAUUUUAUACCAUCUCCCCAAUUUUGAUAGCCUCAGCAAACGACUUUCCCAUAGCGGGCAUCAUGUUCUAGAACUAGUCUGCCUCUUGGGCCUGUAGAAAGAUUGUGACCAUUUCAAUUUCAUCCAUUGGAGGCUUUACCCUGGCAACUUGCUCACUCCAUUUGAAUACAUAUUUGUGGAAGCUUUCCGUGAUUUUCUUUUUCAAAUUGGACAAAGAGUUUCUAUCAGGAGUGAUGUCCACAUUAUACUGGAACUAGCGAACAAAAUCUCGGGCCAUAUCGUCCCAUUCAUGCCAAUGGGUAAUUUCUUGAUCUGUAUACCACUCAGAAGCGAUUCCGGUGAGGCUUUCCCUAAAAUAGGCCAUUAGCAGCUCCUCUUUUCCACCAGCACCCCUCAACUGGUUACAAUAUCGUUUUAGAUGAGCGACCGAGUCUCCGUGCCCGUUGUACUUUUCAAAUUUUGGCAUCUUGAAGCCAGCUGACAAGUGGACAUGAGGAAACAUACAGAGGUCAGAGUAUGAGACACUCUUCUGACCACUCAGACUUAGCAUGUUUUUCAGGCUUUGUUCUAGGUUCUUCAUCUUCCGAGACAUUUCCUCUUGCUCGGGAUUUUUAAUUUUCUUGCUCCCCCGAGAGAUCAUAUUGCGGAGGUUGAAUGAAAGAGUACGGGGUCACAUAUGUUAUUUCUGAUUGAAGCUGAUGCUGAAAGGUGAACAUUGGAGGCUCAACAUAUGGUCGCGGUAAAGUUGGUUGUGUUUUGGUGCAGACUGGUGCUGUAGAGAACAAUAUUGGGGGUGCCCAGGAAACCAGCGCCUGGGGGCAAACCACAGAAGGCAUGCCAGGAUCAUUGAACGGCAUUGGAGAGUGCCCGUAUGGGAUGAGCGGGUUAGGCACAGGGGCGUUGGUAACCUCACUUGAACUGGGGAUCAACUGAGGGAAUCCAUGGAUUGUACUUGACGGUUCCUACCAUUAGAGCAGGCGUCCCACAUUUCCAAUAUGCGGAGACAUAACAUCUUAUUCUCUUCAGUAGCUGCUGAUUCUAGCUGCAGAAUAGCCGAUGUCGGGCUAUCCUCAGGACCGAUGAUUGGUAGAUUGCUUGNNNNNNNNNNNNNNNNUUGCACACCCAACAACCUUGUUAGUUGUGAGACGCUUAACAGAUAUGAAAUCGCACGUUUGGAUGCAAUGCACCUAAACAGUUAAACGUUUCUACCAUGUAAACGGUUGCAUGUUUCAUCCCGGCCUUAGUUAACCCCUUAAGUAUGUACCCUUUUUCUUUUAUUUCUGCCUCUCUUAAUUACUCUUGAUUUUUUUUUCAUUUCGUUUUUGUCGCUCUUUUAUUUUUUUGGCACUCUCUUUUCUUGUUUUUUGUUUUGUUUUUGUCACUCUCUUUUCACUCAAUUUUUCUUUCUCCUUUUUUUUCAGUUUAUUCUUCACUCAGUUAAUUUUAUGGCUAUGAUCGAAUCCGAUGAGGAUUUCCUACGUAUCAUGACGCCGCAUGAAUCAAAUCUUGCGUAGUUCGGGAAGAUCGAAAAUGGAGUAAAUAAACUUAUUUUUUUUUGGUUGGAAUUUUUGAAAGAAAUGCUUUAAAAUAAGAAAAGAAAUAUUUUUUUUUAUUUUUGAUUUUGAGUUUUGUUUUGUUUUUUGAAAGAAAGACUUAUAAAAAUUCAUUUGCUUUUGAUUUGAACUUUGGGAAUUUUAAAAGUAAAAAGAAAAUAUUUUUAUUUGAAUUUUUAUUUGUUUUCUCUUUUUUUAAAGAAGAAAGAAAAUAUUAUAUAUAUAUUUUUUGGAUUUUGGACGUUUCCUCUUAAUUUUUGAAAGAGGGACUUUUAAGAAAAUGUUUUGAAUUUCUGAUUUAUUUACAAAAGUACUUCUAAAGAAAAGCAAAAUAUUUUUGGACUUCAAUUUUCAAUUUGUUUUUACAUUUACGAAAGAAAUACUUUUAAAGAAUAAAAAAAAUAUUUUCUCUUUUUUUUUUGGAUUCUUUUUUUGAUUUUUUGGAAAAAUACUUCAAAACAAAGAAAACCCGUAUGAAAUACUCUAGAAAGAAGGAAACUACUCUUUUUUUUAGUUUUAAAAAAUUCCCUUUUUUUGUUUUGAAUUUUCUAAGGAAAAUAUUUUUGGAUUUUUGAAAAUUGGGGUCGGAACCGAUGAGGUUUGCCUAUGUAUCUCACAUCCAGGGAAAUAUGAAACUUGAAAAUUUUGGCUCAUUUUGAAAUGAUUUUUCUUUUUCAUAAUUUUGGCAGAGUUUCAGAAUUUUCUAGAUACCUACCUCUCACCUUUUUUUUGAUUUUUUUUUUCUUUUUUCUUAUAGAUGCCGGCCAACAUGCAAGCCGAAUCAAAUAAUUGUACAAGUAGUAUGUAAGAUGAAUCAGGAUGGUCUUUUUAAUUUGGGUACACUUGUCCUAGACGGACCUAAUCCCUGUGUUGAGUCUCCAAAAUCAAAUGCACAUGAUGCAAACAAGCGUUCCUACUAGGAAUCCGGCAUGAGACUGAGUUAUUCUAGGUUUAAAACCUGGGUAUAUUGUUCUAGACUUGGUUUAUCCGAGCGGACAACUCGAGCCAGGGGGGUUACGUACCGGGAACCAAAAGGUCAUUCGGCUUUGUAACUUGUUCGAGCCUCUUUCGAAUUUUAAGGUAUGACACUAACAGAAAAGGAGUCACGCCAGCGUGCACAUCCCCAAAGAUGAGAAGAGAAGGGUUUCGUAACAGUCUAUAUACAAUUCAAAUAAUAUCAAAGCGGUAAAAAGCGACAUUUAGCACAUUAGGCCCAAACAUGCAAUUAAUAAAUAAAAGACAAUUAUAACAGUUAUUCAAAGCUCGAAUUCUUGAACCCUGAACCAAAAGUUCUGGGUUAUGGUCCCCAGCAGAGUCGCCACAGCUGUCAACACCUCUUUUUUACCACCCAGGGUAUAUAAGGGAGUUUUUUCAAUCAAAGUGAUAUUAUUCGAAAUGAGAUUAUUUAAUUUAUCAGAGUCGCCACAUGGAAUAGUUUAUUUGGUGUUCCAAGUCACCGGUUUAUUUUAAAUCCCAAAUCGAGGAAAUUUUCGACCUUAUUUAAAAGUCUGCGAAACUAGAAAUUCUAGAUAAGGAAUUCUGUUAAUCCGGGAGAAGGUGUUAGGCAUUCGUGGGUUCCGUGGUUCUAGCACGAUUGCUUAAACUAUUAAUAAUUGCCCUAUUAUCUGAUUUACUACACGUUUUAAACCUAUUGUGCAUUUUUAACUUUAUAACCACUUUUAAUUACUUUAUGGAAUUAUUCUGGAACAAGUUACGAUUAUCGUACACUUGCUUAUUUGAUAGAUAUUGCGAAUUAUAUCAUGAGAAUCGUACUCACGAUCCACAACAUGUUUAAUUUAUUAAAGUUAUUAGAAGUUGUGGCCGGGUCACAUAUAUGUACCACCGAAUUUGAAAAUUUGGUAUUAUAACUACGUCACAGGAACCGUACCCGUAGCUGCGAUGAUUUUAUUAUAGACGUGCCUAAAGCAAACUACGAAUAUUCAAAAAUAUUUUUUACACGAAGUUAUAAUAUUAAGGUGAGGGCCAUAGAUUAGGUGAUUCAAUUGUGAAUUGCACGCCUCAAUUUAUUUUAAAAAGAUUUGUAUUUCACUAAAGCAAAUUAAGGAUGCUCCUAUUUAAAUCUAAUUUGAAAUUAGGUAUCACAACUACGCCACGGGAACCAUACCCGUAGUUGUAAUGAUUUAAUUGCAUGCCUAAAGCAAACUACGGUGUUUCAAAUUUGUGAUUCAUUGCCAAUUUAGGAUUGUUGUGAAGGCUCUGACUUAUGGACUUGACUUAUUUGGGAAGAAAAACAUACUAAUCCUACGGAGAAAAGACAAAUCUAGGAUGCAUUACUGUAUGGGGUAUGAAUUUUUCAACACAUUUUGAAGGAAAAAAAGCCAUGUUAAUUAGUUAGGUGUGUUCGUAUUCCACUUGAUUUCCACAUCAAUUUUCUUUUUUCUUUAACAAAAAAUUUCAAAGAACUCUGCCACACAUGCCUAAGAUAAAUAUAUUUAAUUAACAAUGCUACAAAAUAUAUUAUAUAACAUGAUGCAACAAUUCAAAUGGUAAUCACCAAAUAUGCAAGUAUUUAGACGUCUCUGUCAGUGAAGAAAGCACAUGUUCCUUUUAAUUCAGACGCCAAGAAAAAGACGAACAUCUCCAAGUAUCCCGAGAACAUAAAUUGGAAUAAAUGACAUGAACAGAUCCUUUCAACAAAUAUACUGGGACAGCCUCAAAUAAUAAAGUUAAAAUCAAGUAGGCUCCUUAUUCAUAUGUAAACUCAAAGCAAUUAAAUACUAAUAUUUCCACCAAUCAAAUAUCAAAUGAGUGAUCAUAGAGUCAUAUCAAACUAUAAUCCGAUAUGUCUAAACCAAGCAGAUUCAUAAAUUUAUAUGCUUGUCCAAAGUGAAGCAACAAAUUUAACAAAAUGACAUGAAAAAACAGGAGCCAAAUCAAAUCAGUAUUUUAUUCAUUAGAAACUAGCAACAAUCAGAAAAUUAGAAGUGUACCUACCUUGUAUUUUAAAAGAAACAAAGGAAAAGAGAAACGAAGCUCAACAGCAAUUUCUCAUCCACAACAAACAACAAUCGCAGCAAGACAUCUCCAAUUAGAGCUUCAACAACUUGGAUCCUAAAUUGGAAUAAACGGCUUUACGAGCAUCAAGAGAAGAGUUCCAAUCAAGGGCAGCCACAAUAGCUCGAGCUACAUCGCUUGCUAUACCAUUGUCCUCCAUCUUUUUUUAGCUGUUAAUUAAUGCUUCAAUAGAUUCUUGAAGUUGUACAGUAUCCACCUUUGAAAAGGGUUUUAAAAGGAAGAAAGAAUAAAUUGGAAAGAGGGUUUUAAGCACGUAUGCCAGUUAUUUGCACUCUGCGAUGGUGGACAGAGUAGGGAUAGAGGAAAGGUGCUUCAUCUUUUAGGAUCUCUGAUCUGUGUGUCGUGUGGAGAAAAAAAUGAAGAAUAAGAGAGAGGGGUUUGGUCUUUUUUGUGGAAACGACGCUGAG
rnacentral:lncRNA from 1 species